ACAGAAAAGGAUGACAUUUUGUGGAGGAGGGUGUCGGAGUUUUUGGUGGUGCUGCCGGGGAGAGUGGUGGUGAGUGGUGGCUGAUAGAGGAGGUGAUGAACAUUUUGUAGAUGAGAAGGGGAGUGUGGUGGACUUUUGGUGAGUGCCAAAGGGCAGGGUGUUUUUGUGUGUUAUUGAGGUGUAAGGUGUUAAAUGUUAAAUUUCAUUGUCAAGGGGUGAAAUUGGUGAAAAGAUAAAAGAGCCUGAUUGGCUUUGAAGAUCGGGUUUUAAGUUAUUUUCGAUUUUAAAUUAAAAAUUAUUUAUUUAUAUAUUAAGUUAGAAAUUGUAUAAAAGUCAAAAAUAAAUUAGAAACUAAAAUUAAUUUAGAUGUUUUAGUGACUUAAUUUUUAAAAAGUUCUGAAAUUAUUCACAAAUAAGUUACAUGUAAAUCAUUUUCAUUUUUAUUUUAAAUUUUUAAACAUUCAUAAAAUCAAAUUAUCCAACAAAUAUUUCAAAUUCUUAAUAUAUUAAAUCAUGUUAAAUUAUCGAGCACAAUUUUAAAUUGAGUCAAACGGUCUCAAAAUCAUACGGUUAAUAUGUUCCGGCUAUUAUGUUUAUCCGUCAUAGUUAUAACUCAAAAACAUUUGCGCCGUUUAGGCAAAUUUAAAAAAAAGUGAUUUCUGGCUUAAAGUAAAAAAGUGGAUUAAAAUGUAUUAAAAUCCCAAUCGAAUACACCCCCUAGAAGUGAGAAAUAAAUAAGUUAAUAAAGUGUUUGGAAAAGAAGAGAAAUUUUGAGACAAAUUCUUAAAAAUACUUAUACUUUUUUUUUUUUUGAAGGUUAAAAAUACUUAUACUUAUUUACACAAACGGGUUAAAAGAAUUAGAAAUCAGAAGUUGUGCUUCUCAGAAACAAUCGGGGCCAUUAUGAUGGUCUUUUUUAGUGAUAGGAUCACGAAAUAUUUUUGUCCCGGAAGAGCCAACGAAAGAGGUUCCAGUCUGACGUUAUUUUUUGACAUCGAUAAGUGUGCCAUGUGAGUGUUCCAUUAUUUCGCGGACGCAUCAUCGUGUGGUUUGGCCGGAGAGAGUUGAAUUUACAUUAAAAUAAUGUUCACUCGAUCAUAAACAUAUUUGUGUGAUAGUUAUCUCUUCUGUGACCCUUUUGUUUUGUCUAUGUUUAGGUAUGUGGCGAGCUGCCCAUUGUUUUCUAGCGACUUUUGUUAUAUGGAAGCACGAACGGUCCAUAAACAAAGCAAGCAAGGUGGCAUAUAGUAGUAAUUGUAAUUUUUUGUUGGAAAUUAAUUCAAUAAAUUAAAAAAUAUCUUUUUGAAACAACAGUUUUGAGCAGUGUUACAAAAAAUGUAAAUCAGACUUAAUCAAUGAAAUCAUGUAAAUACUGAUAGGUGAUUAAUUAAAUUGAUCAAGAAUUAAUCAGAUUGAUUAAUCGAUUUAAUCGGUGAUUAAUCAGAAAAUUAAUCAGUUCGACGAAUUAUUAAAUAUAGAUUAAUCGAUGGAAGUUGUUUUACAAAAAAGGAUAGGAAAGUAAGAAAGGGGUUGGCCUUCCCAGUCAGCCAAGAGCUAAGCUGGAACAACUGAACAAGACGCCACAUGACUCUUGGUGACUUAGCCACACGCACUCGUACAGGGUCCAUUUGACUUUUUUGCUUGUACACACGUUUUAAAAUUACACUUGCAUUCAAUGUACACAACAGCUGUGCUCCGUCCGUGCAAGGUGUGAAGAAAAGGCAGAUCAAUUGAUACUCUUUCCGUCUCAAGUAGUGUACUUUUUUACGGUUUGUUUUCUCGAAUGGUUUGUUUUCUCGAAUGCGUUAUCUAAUUUUUUACAUUUCAAAACUUAUCUAAUAAUAAAAUUAUGAUACAUCGUUUGUUACCUAGAAAGGCUCUUCAACUUGCAACUCGGCUACCAUUAGUGUAGCUUCUUGCAUCUUAACAUUUUGUGGGUGUUUGGCAACUUAGGGGCCGUUUGGCUAAGCUUAAAAAAAGUGAUUCUNGGAUUAAUACCUUUCCUGAACUUCUCCUUCAAAACCCAGUAGCCUUCUCUUUUUUCCACUCUAGCCUCCAGCCUUUCGCCACCAUCACCGCCUUCUACGGCAGCAGAAGGCGGUGGCACGGCUGUUUGAGCUGGAGGAGUUGCAUGUAGCCUGGAAUUCUUGGUGUAGAAGCUUGUGUUUUGUAGCAUGGGAGGUGCCAAGAACUUGACAGAAAAGGAUGACAUUUUGUGGAGGAGGGUGUCGGAGUUUUUGGUGGUGCUGCCGGGGAGAGUGGUGGUGAGUGGUGGCUGAUAGAGGAGGUGAUGAACAUUUUGUAGAUGAGAAGGGGAGUGUGGUGGACUUUUGGUGAGUGCCAAAGGGCAGGGUGUUUUUGUGUGUUAUUGAGGUGUAAGGUGUUAAAUGUUAAAUUUCAUUGUCAAGGGGUGAAAUUGGUGAAAAGAUAAAAGAGCCUGAUUGGCUUUGAAGAUCGGGUUUUAAGUUAUUUUCGAUUUUAAAUUAAAAAUUAUUUAUUUAUAUAUUAAGUUAGAAAUUGU
rnacentral:lncRNA from 1 species